ACUCAGGCACGAUCCGUCCGGGCCGCCGCAGCGCGGUCCCGACCGGCGGAGACGACCUGAAGUUUCAACCCUGAGGGA
rfam:Corynebacterium frankenforstense DSM 45800 strain ST18, complete genome.